rnacentral:rRNA from 1 species
UACAUGGAUAAUCCGCCUUUAGGACCGGGACAACCCAGGGAAACUUGAGCUAAUACCGGAUAAGACCACAGAAUCUCCGGAUUCAGUGGUAAAAGGUGGCCUUCGGGCUAUCACCUAUAGAUGAGUCCAUGUCCCAUCAGGUAGUUGGUGAGGUAAUGGCCCACCAAGCCGAAGACGGGUAGCCGACCUUAGCGGGUGAUCGGCCACACGGGGACUGAGACACGGCCCCGACUCCUACGGGAGGCAGCAGUGGGGAAUAUUGGACAAUGGGCGCAAGCCUGAUCCAGCAAUACCGCGUGA